CCGUUGUUUCAGAUUGUUGCAGCGAGACAAAUGCUCAAUGAAGUUCCGCGAAACCCUAAUUUCAUAUCUGCAAAUCUAUCCCUAAUAGUUGCAGAUCGUUAUUGGUCUCAGAGCUCAGAGAAACCAUAAAACCUAAUCUCUCUCGACUUUCUGCGUAGCUCAUUGCAGUUGCAGAGCUCUCAUGGUUUGUUCGGCCUGAAAUGAGCUUGUAACGAAGAAGAUCACAAAACCCUAGUUUUUUUGGACCCUAACAUAGCUCGAUAGCUGUAUUCCUGGUUUAUCAGCUUCAUUGAAGGUUGAAUUGAAAAUCGAAGACACCCUAGUUUUCUUCUUCGAGCUUCAAUCUAGGGCAGAGCCCUAUGGUCUCAUCAGCUUCGAUUAAGUGUGAAACGGCGGCCAUAGAAACCCUACUCUGGUUUCCCCAUGCCAUGGACUAAUUCAUAGUUUGCAGAGCUCUGUUUUUACCAGCUUUAAAGGAGACGAUGUAUCUUCAUUAGGGAGGACGUGAAGCACUGGAAUAUAAAGACUUCCAUUAGAAAUAUCAGGACAAACCUUGAUUUUAGUUUUAUUUCAAGCUAAUACUGACAUAAACUGUAGUUAAUGAUCUUUUAAUUCUAAUCCUUGAGUUUCUGUUCUCAUAUUAGGGUUUUGGUUCUCGCAUUCGUGUGGGAAUAAUCUUUUGGAGCUGUGUAUUUGCCCGUGAAUUGAUUAUUUUUAUCAGGUUCUCAAAAAUGUCAGCAGAAUCUCCUUCACUUGGGGGUCGGCCCCUUGAACAAUGGAAGGUCACAGAGUUAAAGGACGAGCUUAAGAGCAGGAAGAUAACAACUAAGGGAUUAAAGGAAGAUUUGAUUAGGAGGCUUGAGCAAGCUAUCCUGGAUGAUCAAAAGAAUGCAAUGGGCAAUGGGAUUAAUCCCGAGGGCGAGGUUGAGAUUAGCUGUGGGGCUGCAGAGGUUAACAAUGAGGGGCUUGAAAAUAAAGAAGAAGCUAGUUCUUUUGAAGCCGAAUCAAGCGAGAAAGUAAAUGAGAAUGAUGGUAAAACUGAUCCUGAUGGUAGUAUCAAUCAAGGAGAGAGUGAUAUGGUUCCAGUGACAAUUGAGAGAAGUUCUCAAGUGAUUGACAAGCCCCCAUUGGAUGAAAAAGCCCCAGUAAUUGAAGACAGUGGACAAGUUCAUCAGGAAGUACCAAGCCAUGUGGAUGCUAUCAAGGAAGAUGGGCCAAAGGAUAACAUCAGAGAAGGUGAGCCAAAGUUUGCUGAAGGUCCAACAGCUGAUGUCAAAGAAUCCAAUUUGUCCAAGCCUAUCAACGAUGUACCCAAGAAGGUUAGCCAAGUUGUAGAGUUUCCACUAAAUUCUGAUUCUCUUUGUAAUGAUUCUGUGGCUAUUAGGGACACAACUGAACUAAAGGAUAAUUUGAAUGCUGACAAUGUCAAUUUAGAAUCAGAAUUUGUUAAGCCGGGGUUGGUGCCACCAUCACCUGGUGCUGUUGAGUCUUCUGUAGGUGACUUGGAUUUAUCGAGGGAUCACGUGCAAGCUGAGGAGCAGAGUAACGUCGAUGAGAUAAAAGAUGAUCAUGUUAUGGAUAUUGAUUUGACCAAGGAGCAGAGUACCAUUGAUGAGGUAAAGGAUGAUAAUGUUAUGAAGGCUGAUUUCACCAAGGAAAAUAAUGUUAGGAUUGCUGGUUCUUCAAAUAAUCCGCCUCUGGGUGAAAAUUUGCGAGAAGAAUAUUUGGACAAAAAUUUGUUGGAGAGCAAGAAUGUGGAUGUUAUCUUGAAAGAAGAGGACGAGAAAAAGGAUGUUGUGAUGCUAGAACCUCUUCGUGCUAAAGAGGAAAAUGUUCCUGAUGUCAUGGCUGUCGAGCCUCCUGUGAAAAUGGCUGAUGGGAGUAACAACUCAGUUCUUAUUGGUGACAAGAGGAAAAAGGAAGAUCAGGAAGAGGAAGUGACACCUGAACCUACUAAGAGGUUGCGCAGGUGGAACAGUGGCAACGAGGCUGUUAUUUCUCCGCGUUCUGGUAAGGUUCAAAGGGAGCCUUUGAAAGUCAAUGAGGUUUCCCAAGGUUCCCCUACAAAACCACAAAAUCUUGAUGCUCUGACUCCAAGAGAGAAGCCAAGAACUCCAAAGCCGCUGCUUUCCAGGUCUGAUUCCUCAGUCAGUGAGGAUGCACCAAAAGAACGUGUGGUGCCUCCACCACAGAGGUCUCCUACAACUUCGUUGAGAAUUGAUCGGUUCCUACGCCCAUUCACUUUGAAAGCGGUGCAAGAACUUCUUGCGAAGACUGGUACUUUCUGCAGCUUUUGGAUGGACCACAUCAAGACUCAUUGCUAUGUCACGUAUUCCUCUGUCGAAGAAGCCGUGGAGACUCGCAACGCUCUCUACAACCUUCAAUGGCCACCAAAUGGUGGUCGCCUCCUAACUGCUGAGUUUGUCGAACCUGAGGAUGUCAGUGUCCGAGCCAAAGGCGAGCUUCAAUCCCAACCUUCCACUCCUUCAAACAAUCACCCAAUUCCCCAAACUACCCCUGUAGGGGUUGUCCCAAACACCAAAACUGCCCCCAUUAAGGGUCCUCAGGUAACAGAAGAACUCCCUCCUCCACCUCCACUUCCUCCACACUUGGGCCAAAAGCUUACAUCUUCUUCUCUUCCACCCCCACCUCCUCGUCCCCCUGUCUCUCAUCCUCUUGAGAGGCUUCCCCCUCCUCCUCCUCUCUCUCAAAGGCCACAUGCGCAAGAGAGGCUUGUUCCCCCACCUCCUCCAAGGAAGCCUGAACCACCACCGCCUACAUUGGAUGACCUCUUCAAGAAAACUAAGGCAACUCCUCGCAUCUAUUAUUUGCCCUUGUCGGAUGAACAAGUUGCUGCCAAAUUAGCGGCAAGGGAGCAUGGUGGGCGUGGCCGAAAUAUUACCUCUGGUGGUCGAGCUAGGAACUAGGAGAUCCAUUCGAGUCAACGGGAAAGGCUUGUCAUAACCAAAUCAAUGGAGAUAAGAAAUUUAGAGUACCUGGAGCUAGUAUCUGGAGUUUAUGCAUUCGCUGAAGACUCUAUGAGCUGAGCUUCUGCAGAGCCUUGAGGUACUUGAGGAGGUUGGUAGCUGGAUCAUAUAUUAGCAUAUAUUCAGGCCUUGUACAAACUGUGUUCAUCAUUCAGAACCUCCUACAUUUUUAUGAGAUACUUUAUGAUGUGUAAGUUGGCGGGAAUCAAUAUCGUUUAAGCGGUUUGUGUUGAUAUCGAGUAUUUAUUUCCCA